CCCGAGGUGGUGAAAUUGGCAGACGCGUCGGACUCAAAAUCCGAUGAUAGCAAUAUCGUGUCGGUUCAAGUCCGACCCUCGGGACCA
rnacentral:tRNA from 1 species